ACUGGGUGACAAACACGUCUGCCCUUUACCUGGGCACGGGACUACCCCUAUCGCUUCUGCAUCCGGUGAUGU
rnacentral:sRNA from 1 species